CUCAAAAUGAAGUAACUCAGGGCUGGGGAUGUAGCUCAGUGGUACAGCACUUGCCUAGCAUGAUGUAUGAAACACUAGGUUCAAUCCCCAGCAACACCACAGAAAAAGAAAAAUGGAGUUAACUCCUGGCAAACUACUACUUUACAAAAUGGAGUAACUCAGAGCCAGGCACAGCCCACUUUCCAAAUCCACCAAGUAUAAGGCUGGAUUUCUGGGGAGCAGGAACAGAGCCUGAGGAAAGAGCCAGGCCACAGAGCAUGUGAAGAGAAAAGCAGCCAUGAAAAAGAAAACAGCAGCAUGAGACAAAUGGACAAGAGAAUGGAUGCAACAAAAGUGGAAUGAACAGAGUCUAUCACAGAAGUCUCUGCAACUGGCUAUUAUGUGUGAAUGCACCCAGUUACUGGAGGCUCGGGAAGGAGGCAGGUGUUCCCUGGCAGUUGGAGAGGUGAUGCUAUAGGUUAUGAUUCUCUCAAGUAGCCUCUCUGAGAGUUGCUUUGUGUUAUGUACCACACAGAUGCUAGGUCAUGGGAAGUGUGGAGCUAUAUAAAACAUGACUCUGGCCAGGCAUGGUAGUGCAUGCCUAUAAUCCCAGCAGCAGCCUGGGAGGCUGAGGCAGGAGGAUCACAAGUUCAAACCAGCCUCAACAAUUUAGCAAAGCUAUAAGCAACCCAGUGAGACCCUGUCUCAAAAAUUUUAAAAAGGCUGGGGAUUUGACUCAGUGGUUAAGUGCCCCUGGAUGGUUACUGGGAUUAUUUGAUUCCACUAGGCAGGAAGAGCAAAGAUAUGUGAUAAUGUGUUUUAUUUUAUUUUUAAAAUAAAUAAAAAUUUAAAAAAUAAAAUAAAACAUGACUCUGCCAGCAGGCAAUUGGGGAGAACCCAGCGAGAGAAGGGGUCAUAUGUUCUGGGAACACUUCUUACUUAGAGACCAUGUAUGAACAAGGAAGGUCACGUGACCUCUGAGUUGUUUCCUACCUUCGGGCAGAAGAGAAGGUGGGUUCUUCCAGGCAGAAGGAUCAACAUAUGAAAAGACAGAAGUGAGAAAGACACAGCCCCAGCCCAGGGAGCAAGGGGAGUUGGAAUGCAAUUAAGUAGAUAAACUAACCAGGCACCGUGGUGCACGACUGUAAUCCCAGCUGCUGAGGAGGCUGAGACAGGAGGAUGGUGAGUUCAAACCCAGCCUCAGCGAUGGCGAGGUGCUAAACAACUCAAUGAGACCCUAUCUUUAAAU
rnacentral:lncRNA from 1 species